rnacentral:snRNA from 1 species
AUGCUUACCUAGCAGGGAAGAGACCAUGAUCAAGAAGGUGGUUUUCCCAGGGUGAGGCUUAUCCAUUGCACUCCAGAUGUGCUGACCCCUGUGAUUUCCCCAAGUGUGGGAAACUCGACUGCACAAUUUGUGGUAGUGGGGGACUGCGUUCGCACUCUCCCCUU